rnacentral:rRNA from 1 species
GACGAACGCUGGCGGCGUGCCUAAUACAUGCAAGUAGAACGCACAGUUUAUACCGUAGCUUGCUACACCAUAGACUGUGAGUUGCGAACGGGUGAGUAACGCGUAGGUAACCUGCCUGGUAGCGGGGGAUAACUAUUGGAAACGAUAGCUAAUACCGCAUAAUAUUAAUUAUUGCAUGAUAAUUAAUUGAAAGGUGCAAUCGCACCACUACCAGAUGGACCUGCGUUGUAUUAGCUAGUAGGUGAGGUAACGGCUCACCUAGGCGACGAUACAUAGCCGACCUGAGAGGGUGAUCGGCCACACUGGGACUGAGACACGGCCCAGACUCCUACGGGAGGCAGCAGUAGGGAAUCUUCGGGAAUGGACGAAAGUCUGACCGAGCAACGCCGCGUGAGUGAAGAAGGUUUUCGGAUCGUAAAGCUCUGUUGUAAGAGAAGAACGGGUGUGAGAGUGGAAAGUUCACACUGUGACGGUAUCUUACCAGAAAGGGACGGCUAACUACGUG